rnacentral:hammerhead_ribozyme from 1 species
AUCCAGCUGAUGAAUCCCAAAUAGGGCGAAACGCGUAUCCUGAAU